AUUGAACGCUGGUGGCAGGCCUAACACAUGCAAGUCGAGCGGUAGAGAGGUGCUUGCAUCUCUUGAGAGCGGCGGACGGGUGAGUAAUGCCUAGGAAUCUGCCUAGUGGUGGGGGAUAACGUUCGGAAACGGACGCUAAUACCGCAUACGUCCUACGGGAGAAAGCGGGGGAUCGCAAGACCUCGCGCGAUUGGAGCGGCCGAUAUCAGAUUAGGUAGUUGGUGAGGUAAAGGCUCACCAAGCCGACGAUCUGUAGCUGGUCUGAGAGGACGACCAGCCACACUGGGACUGAGACACGGCCCAGACUCCUACGGGAGGCAGCAGUGAGGAAUCUUAGACAAUGGGCGCAAGCCUGAUCUAGCCAUGCCGCGUGANCGAUGAAGGCCUUAGGGUGUAAAGCACUUUCAGCGAGGAGGAGAGUUGUGUGUUAAUAGUACACAGUCUUU
rnacentral:rRNA from 1 species